rnacentral:rRNA from 1 species
UGGUUAUGAUGCCACGACCCAGUGUCCUUUAUACUUGCUUGACUCUCUGGUCUGCAACUGACGCUGAGGCUCGAAAGCAUGGGUAGCGAACAGGAUUAGAUACCCUGGUAGUCCAUGCCCCUUAUGAUGUGGGCUAAGUGUUGGAGGGUUUCCGCCCCUCAGUGCUGCAGCUAACGCAUUAAGCACUCCGCCUGGGGAGUACGACCGCAAGGUUGAAACUCAAAGGAAUUGACGGGGGCCCGCACAAGCGGUGGAGCAUGUGGUUUAAUUCGAAGCAACGCGAAGAACCUUACCAGGUCUUGACAUCUUGUGCAAAGUGUAGAAAUAAGGCGUUCCCUUCGGGGACGAUAGGAGAGGGGGGGCAUGUGUGUCGCCACCUCGGGUGGGGAGAUGUUGGGUUAAGCCCCCCAACGAGCGCAACCUUUGUUAUUAGUGGCCAGCAUUAUGUGGGGCACUCUAGAGAGACUGCCGGGGAAAAACCGGAGAAGGGGGGGGAAGACACCAAAUCUUCUUGCCCCUUAUGACUGGGG